CAUCUUCAAAUUAAGCCAGUUACUUCCACAUUGCUUACAAGAGCAAAGCUGUAGAGGAAAAAGACUUCUUCAAGGCCCGAGUUCACUGCGGGAAAGCUGGUUCACAGCUGAUUACUAUCAGAAUAAAAACAGUGUGGAUAAAUGGGGAGCCUGAGAGCAAAUACACCUUUUGCUCUAAGAUGGUCUGGAUCAGCAGGCUGCAGGAGCAUGCUACCGAGGCUGAAGGACUGACUGGUCUCAGCUUUACCAUGCCUACAACACGAAGGCUGAGCUGCCUCCAGGGUACCUCUUCUUCUGGAGCAUCUUCUGACCCUCUUCUUGGAGGACCUUUAGCAGCAGUCCUCUUUGGUUCCACGGCACGUAGGACUUGAUUGUGAAGAUGGUUUCUUCCAGCUUUAACUGGCAAGCUGUGAUAUAAUCCAGGGCUGUCAAGUAGUGGCUGCCACCAGAAAUCCGGAUAAGUCCACGCCCACAUAAGGCUUUAAUACAACUGCUGGGAUGCGGGGAAUCAUGCUCGAUGACUUUUUGAAAGUCCUGCAGAGCUUGCUGCUGGUUCUGAGUGUGGAGGUAGCAGAAUCCUCGCAAUGCUAGCAGAGUAUUGUAAUAUGUUUUCUGCUCUGCUGCUAAGAGGUGGUCACAGAUUUCCAGGGCAGUUCUGAUGUGUCCGUGCAGGAGAUGGCAGUCUGCCAGUCGAACACUGAGCUCACGUUUGGAUCCUGGGGAGAUGUGCAGGAGGAACUGGACUGUCUGGAUCACGGAAGGGAGAAGUUCAGUACCAUGAUUGCUUCUGAGCUCAGGCCGAGCACGCACAGCCUCCCUGUAUGCUGCAAACUUCACCUCCAGGACAGUUCUAGCCUGUUCUUCUAUCUUCUCAGUAUCAGGUGGUGAGAAAAGCUCUUCAAAGUGUUUCAUUGCCUGGGCAGGGGUAGCUGCAAAGGCUUCUGCUAAAUCCUGGAUCAUUUCCUGCAUCCGUCCACCCAAGAAGAAAUAUGCAGCAGCCCGUUCCAAGAGUAGACCCAAAGCUUUCUCAUCUCUGAUAUUAUUACCUGCUGACAAACCCUUAAGGGCCUUGCUACAAACUGCCACGCACUCCUCAAAUUUGCUUUUCUUAAACAGGUAAUCUGCCUGCAUCCUGCAAAUGCAGAUAUCAUCUGGUGCCACUGCAGACAGGAAGUCAUAGCAGUUGCCCAGCCACUGGUCCAAGGAUCUACAAUCUGGGCUUUCUUUCUGACAUGUUGAAAGAAAAUUAGAGAAGGCCUGGAUGAUCUGUGGCAGGUGUUCUCUUUGCCUGGUACACACAUAGGCCACUGCCUCAGUGCGAUGCAUCACAAAUGCUUCAAGAUAGUCCACAACUCCCUUCCUUAUCUGUGCCCCUGACAGCACCCAUGCCAACGCCCUCAGUAGCAGCAGUUCCAUCGAGUGCUUCGGGUUAGCCUUGAGCAGAGUACUGCAUUUACUCACCACCUCCUCUGAGCAUCCUCGUCUGAGCAGGGUCUCCAAUUUAAAUAGUGAGGAUACCACAUUGUCAGGACUUAUGGUGGAGAGAAAGGCGGCAGCUAUUUCCACUUUGAGGGACACAGCGUCCAAGUUCUUGCUCUGGAUCUUGGGAAUCUGACUCUUGUCUUUGCACCACAUCUCCAAGGUGGCUACCACUUUCUCCCAGAGCUCUUUGUCUAGGGAAUUCACUUUCUGCACGGCCAUGGGGGCACUGCAGCUGAAGGCAGCCAAAUAGAAAGCAGUGGCUUCUGGCAACUCCUGCUGGGCUAGAUGGCGGUCCCCUUCUUCGCACAGCAGCGUGGCAAGCCUCUGAGGUGACAUUUUGAGCAGCUGUAGCUUCACCAAGGAGCAUCACAUCAGCAUUUACACCUAGAGCCUGUGAAACAGAGAAUAGGCAGCAUGAGGGGCUGUUGAGCACAACUUCGUUUUGCUUGGGGCAGUGGAGCUUUCCAAUUGACAGUAGGAAAGUAGGAAAAGAAUUGGAAGUAGGAAGCUUUCCAAUUGACAGAUACAAGCAAGACAAAGUCCUGUGAAAAGCCAGUGUUUUGUCAUUGAGACCUUUACUGGGGAGCAAAGCCAAGAGCAGAAUCAGGCCACAGAAGCUAAUUAACUGUCCACACCUGCACAUUAACCGCUGUUAAUCAGAAAGCACCACACAAAACCUGCCAGUAUGCACAAGCCCCUUGGCUGCCCAGGCUGUGGGACCUACUGGGUUUUGUCUCCCUGGCCAUGAUGCCAGUUUGAUAAAGUUUUAAUCACCAAUAGUUUGUUGGUCCUGGUGGCGGUCAGGGAGGGGGCAGCUUAACGCCCUGCUUUUGCCUUUGAGGGGCUGGAAAGGGAGAAGGGAACUAGCACUGAAUUUGCCCCUUCCCCCUGUAAGCCAGGGGUGAGCGGGGAGGGUGAGGUUUAGGGCAGAGGACGGAGUGGCGGAGCCCCUUGCUCGCCCCAAUGCACCCGCUGGGGUCUCGCCAUCCCGCGGAGGAGCCCGGAGAGAACUACCUGAGGGCACAAACAACUACCUGAGGGCACAAAUACCUGGCAGCGGGCGUCUGACGGAGCUGCUGGCCUCUCGCUUCCCCCGAUGCGAGAUGAAAAAGCCCUGAGCCUACAUUCUGCUUUGCCAGUCGCUGUUUCCUGUCACUCGCAAUGGCCUCUUCCCAGGAGGCACGCCGUGCUUCCCUCACAAGACACAGGCAGGCUGUAAGGAAGGAAUACAUGUAUUUCUGGUGAAGUCAGUGGAGUUACCUCUGUGUAAUUCUGGAAUAAUCAGUUGGAGGCAACCACGGACUGCUCUGUGCGCACACGCUCGGUGUUUCUCAUACACAGAGAACCUUGCUGUGUUGGAGCAUCUAUUCUUCUCUGGAGGAAUAUGAAGAAAGCAGAGAGCAUUCCAAAGUCUGUAUUUAACGCAAAAGAGCAUUGAACAAAAUACCUCAGCAAACCCUGAACCACCUGUGGUUUUGAGAUGACCUGUUCUGCCUUUAACAACGUGGUGAAGAAGAUGUAUGCAUGCAUAAACGCGGACACACAGUGGAAAAAUAAUGAAGUUGAAAGCAAAUAAUGCUUCAACACACGUGAAGAAGAAACGGAUUUGGAUUCUGAAGAAUUAGUAUCAGCAUUACAGCAAACAACGUUCAUGUGUAGACACUGAAACCUCUGAUUUCUCAACUUCUGGAUCCUAGGUCAAGCAUAGCCUGCGAGCACGAGGAAGCACUUGCCUUUGGGGAUGGCGUUCCUUGAGGGGUAAGGACAGCAAUGAAAUUGUCUGCGCAUCACCGGCACCUGCCCACAGCUCAGGAGCCUUCAUCUGAAAAGCUGGUUUCCUGAUUGAAUCAGGUUUGUCAGAAAAGUCUCAAGAAGCAUCUGAAAUCUGCACAGACAGCGGAACGGCCCGUGGCUCUGGUCUGUGGCAGUGUAUCAGCCGUGUCUGAGAGCUGUCACUGCCCCGUGGUGGAUUUGUUGGCCCACUCGAUGCACAGCUCUGCAAGACGAGGUACUGGGGAUGUUCCCGAGGGCAUGGGCUGUGUGUUCUCCAGCCUUGGGCAGCCAACAAGUUGUGAGCACGCAGCUCCUAAUCGGGGCUGGCAGGGCAGGUGGUUUAUCUGUGCCUGAGAGGUCCUGCUCUGCAGAGAGGCAGACGCUCGUUUUGCCUCCUUGUUGUGGGCUUUUCAGUUUCCAGUCCAUUACAGGUGACACAGCCGAUAAGGAGCCUGUCUGUCAGCGCCGUCCCUGGAGGGGCGAAUCUUCAUCCCUUCCUGUACUCAAAGCAGAGCCGCCUGCUCACGCUUUUUCGGAUCAUGCUGGGCACCAGGUGAGGGCUGCUCUGCUGGAAGCCAGGUCACAGCAUCCCAGCCCUGCCAGGCCCUGUCCCACACAGCCUGCACAGCAGCUCCAGAGCAAACCUCCUCCCCAGUGGGGAUGGCAGUGCGUAAAAUGAAUGCACUGACAUUUUCCGAGGGGGUCAGAAGAGGAAAGACUUGCAAAGCUGUUCUGUGAACAGCUCCAACCCCCUGCUCGGGAUCUAGGUUUCGCUGGUAGUGAAUAAGCGUGCUGCUCACUACUCUGAGCCUUACCUUUUUUCCUUUGAGCUGACCUCAAUUCUAACUCAGCUUAUUACAGUUUUGUGUCUGAUGUUUCAAAAAUUACUUUCCUAGGGUUAAUCCCUAACCCACGGCAAUACCAUUAGGGAAGUUAUCUGGCAGACUGACUUGUUACCAUUUAGAGCAAGCGGUCUUCUCAAUUCAUAGAAAUCUGUAUGUAUUAUUCACAGAUUGGAGAAACUGGAGCAACAUUUCUACAGCGCAAUGCUCUAGUUUUGCCUGACAGACCUGUGCUAAUUACUCUGUGUGGUUUUGACAGAGAGCCAAGAAUGGGUUGUAGAAAAAUGUGUAUCACUAAAACUUAGGUCCCCAAAGUCAAAAGUAAAACAAACAGUGAGAGAUCAUUAUCUGAAGCAGACCCUUACUAGCUGUGUACAGAAAAAAAGUCAUUCCCAUGUUUUGUUUUCCUUUUUUUUUUUUUUUUUUUCCUCCUUUAGACCAAGUAGUCCUGUCUGUAUUUGGAAAUAUCUUGAGCUUGUACAGUUAGGGCAGACAGUACAUUUAUUCUGUUUUAUCCCUUUUUUCCUUCUCUUUGAAAGGCUAUAGCUGGCUCUGGGGUGGACUCUUUGUGUGGCCUUCAGUGAGUCACUUAACCUUCCUGUGCAUCAGUUUACUCAUUUGUAAAAGGAGUAUUAUAAUAAUAGGCACCCCUCGGGGGCUCUUCCAGAUUUAAAUAAUUAAUGUUGGUAAAGCAGUUUCUGAGGCCCAGAUUAAAGGUGCUAAAUAAAGGCAAUAUAUAAGUAUUUUUUACUCCAGCUCCUUACAGAAAGACCAAAGCAAUAGCCUGAUAACUCUUGGACUUAAAGCUGGGAAUUAAUGCUACAGUGCUCAGAGUAUAUUUUGAUUUCUGUGGUCCUGAUUCAGCAGCACUCUUAAGCCCAUCCUUAAUUUUGGAAAGGCCUGUUAAUUUCCAGGGGCACGGAUCCCAAUCUGGAAAGCUUUGUUGAACCAGUUCCUGGUGACAGACGAGAAGGAUCAGCUGUGCGCGUAUGUGCAUGCAUGUGUCAGUGUGUUUAUCCUUUCGCAUUUCUGACCUCAGUAAGAACAUCAGUGCAACAAGAAUAUAAUCAGCAAGCCUCAUAAAGGUUGCAAAAUUCAUCCGGGAUGCAAAUCAAUAAAUGUAACAGGAGAGAAACUACAAGCUGUGCAUUUCCACGGAGGCGCAGAUUUUGUGGGAUGGAUAGACGCUGCUGAGCAUGACCUAAUGCCGCAGGAAAAAAAAGCAACCACAGACCUCAGCAUCUAAACAGUAUGAAUAUUGAACCAGAGGUCCUUGAGUAAUUGUCCUUUCUUCACUCUAGGGGUGAAAAGGGUACAUUAGACAUUCACUAGCAGCAAAUGGCACCUGACAUCUCUUUAAGUGAAAGUCAGCUUGGAAUUUUUUUUAAUGGCCAAGCAUAAAUCUUUUAAAUUAUAAAUCAAUAAAUAGUUAAUUCAAUAAUAGGAAUCUUUUAAAUAUUUAAUGAGUCAUAUGCAGAAUGGCUCUAUAACUGGAUGUUGAUGGAACUGUGUCAGAGGAAUUUGAAUCAAACUUUUCUAAACUCCCCAUAUUAAAAUAGUUAUCGAUUCAAACAUAAACUAUGAGGACUGUUGCAAAAGUAAGGGGGGGUGGAGGGGCUUAGCAUACAUUUUCUCAUCCAAGAAAGUGUAGAACUAGCAGCUUAUUUUUAAUGAUGUAUUCUUGAGCUUUUCAGGUUGUAUUAAUGUUCCCAGAACAAAAAUGAGUAAGAACCUAUGCAGACGAGAUUUUGUGUGUGUGCAUAUUCAUUAAAAUCUUGUUUUAGUGGCAGCUGUGCUCUUAAAUAAAAGCUGUGGCAGUCUGCCUCUCAUUAAGGGAUUCUGCUAACCAGCAAUGGCAUCGGUAUCCUGAACUACCUCCAUCUGAAACCGCCCCAAAGUUUAAUUUAUUUACUAGAGUUUCAAGUGGAAGACAGUGGAGGUUGUACCCACAAACGCUAGAGCUGCUCAGCUUGUUCCUGCACAAUUUUCUCUGGGGAGAUCUGUAGGCAGUGUUCACUCUCAUUAACUCCGUGCUGCUCUAAGUCAACAACAGUGUUCCUAAUUACCCUGAACUGGAGGAAUCUCUUCUCAACCCACAGACCACAUUCAGUGCACUGCUAUUUCAUAGCAGAUACGGCAUCUUCAACUGUUCUGGAGUCUGACCUUGACUUCCAAAACUGUAACCUAGCUCUCAUGGUCGCAGUAAGUCCUCUUAUCCAGUAUAACCAGAGCCAGAGUCUUAUCCAGUAUAACCAGAGCCUCCUCAGCUGGCCCAGUUGUUGGUCUGGCAGGCCAAACAUCAGCGUUCCUUCAGCAUUUAUUUCAGCGUUGGUGCUGGGCACUCCUGGCAGCCUUGGUUUGAGUAUCCCUGAGUAGUCGCUGCUGGUAACAAGGGUGGAAAGGAUGGUGCUGAGAGCAGGGUGCGGACGUUGCUUCGGUGGGGGAAACACAGGCAAACAGGCAAGAAAGGUGCAAAGAGGCUGGAGAAGGAUUGGACAAAAAGCUGAGGUUCUUUCAGAGUUGCUCCCUGACUGGUAGGUUUGCUUUGGGUAAGCUUACGUGCAUUCAGUGCCACACAUUUCAGAAACACGUCCUGGCAUUUGAGGAACAAAAAAGGCUUUUAUGCAAGGCUUGUUCACCAUUUUAAAAGCUUCCGGCUUUUAAGCCACUCAGCAAAAAUAAAUGGUGUCUUUACAUUCCUUUAGCAAAGAUAGCAACAAAGGUGUUUGAUGUUGACUCCUGAAACAAAGAAACACGGUAUCAGAAACGCCUUCUCGUCACACCUUAUCGUGCCCAUUUUACAGAUGGCUAAAUAUGUUUGUAUUCCGAGGGGACAAAAUUUGACCAUACAGAAUUCAUCCCGCCGCCUCUGAGGGGCAACCAGCCCUGAUGCGGGCCCUGCUGUUUGCUCUACACAUGCCUCUGUAGUCAGAUGGAGUUGGUUCAGUAUUUGUAGCAGAUCCGAGUUUCAUUUGUAUUCUGUACACCUCUUCUCUCCCCUCUCCGUGCAUGUACAUCCAGAAAAGCUGCCUGCAUAUCCUUGUUUGGUUUUUGUUGUUUUGUUUUGUUGUUGUUGUUUUCCCCCAGGAUGACAGAUACUGUAACAAUGAGAGUAGAUUAAUAUCUCCUUAAUCAGCCAAAUGAACGUGACACACAAGGGUGACAGUUCAAUUUGGUGCUAACAGAUUGUGCCUAUCAGAGCCCUUCCAUUCCAACGGAUGUUUAUUUCUGGCAGAGAUCAUAUGGUUCUGGGAGGACCCCAGCUCCCACCAGCUCAUAGACACCCAUUAAAUACAUCAAGUACCACAUAGGUGUUACUCACCCGCCUGUCAGGACACUAGCUGCUUGGGAAAUGAAAUGAGCCUUGACACACGCAAUGGAGACACACUGUCACUUAGCCGGGCGAAGCGGCAGCAUGUAUUAUUGACUACCCGCUGCUGCAGGUCCCUCUCUUUAUUGCUCGCUAUUUUUUGUUUGCCUGUGGACCGUUCGCUGCUGAAACAUGGAUCAGACACCGAGUCUGUCUCCUGGGGAGAUGCAUAACGAAAUGUAAUGGGGAGGAAAUGCAGACGGGGCAGUGGUUUAGGUAAAAGUGAUACAUUAAAUCUUAGUCCCAGAACUGGCGGUGCUCGGAGUUUGUUUGCAGGUGGGAUUUCAGGAGGAUCUGGUUUCUAAUUCUGAAAUUCAAUCUGCAGGCUCUAAUUCAAAUCUUUCUUUUCCUGCUUCCUGCGGCGUUUCAGAUGAAGUAGCCCCAGAUACUGUACAAAGGAGCUGCAAGUCCUUCCCAAGGGCUGUCCCUGCUCCUGCCCUCGUCUCGGCCACGGCCCCUUCUCUCUUGUGCAGGCUUGUAACACAACACCUAAGCCUAGGAGGGCACCGCCAUCAAGGAAUCGAAGUAAAGCUUGGAAUUUGUCAGGCUGCAUUGUGGUGUGACCGUCGUAUCAGUGCUUGCAGCCCCAGCCCCAGCUGCCUGCCCAGCGCCGUGCUCACCGCCUGGCUGGGGCCGCGGGGUGGCACGCUGCGUGCCGAGGCAUUGCUGCUGCUGUGUGAAUCUGUCCUCAGCACUCACAGGUCUGAUCCUGCAGCCCACUGCUGCCCACGGGAAUGUAAUUGAAUGGGAGAGUUCUCCUUUGCUGGAUGAACCCCAGUUAUUUAUUUUCACAGUGACUCACACCGGCCAUCUGCCUGCUUUUGUUUAGACACUGUUGCAGUGCCCUUCCCAUACACGUGAAAUUGCUAAAUUUUGUGGGGUCCCAC